rnacentral:rRNA from 1 species
UGCGUAGGCGGCUUGAUAAGUCAGAGGUGAAAGGCUACAGCUCAACUGUAGAAUUGCCUUUGAUACUGUCGAGCUUGAAUCAGGUUGAGGUUGGCGGAAUGUGGCAUGUAGCGGUGAAAUGCAUAGAUAUGCCAUAGAACACCAAUUGCGAAGGCAGCUGACUGGACCUGGAUUGACGCUGAGGCACGAAAGCGUGGGGAGCGAACAGGAUUAAAUACCCUGGUAGUCC